AGAAAAAGAAUCGACAAGAGAAAGAAGAUCUUCUCUCUCAUCACAUCUCUCUGUGUGUGGGCUAAUAGAAUCCCCUUUCUUUUCAUUUCCCUCAACGGCUCCACAGAUCUCAAAAAUUUCACUCUCCAAACCCUAAAUUUCUCGCUCCAUUCUCAUUGCGAUCUAUACGAAGCCAACGCGUCGUCGUCGUCUUCUGGUCCGGAGUGGUGAAUCGAAUCUGAACGAUGAUUCUAGAAGCUUCAUGAAUCUUCUUCUUCAUGGAUAAACUACAUCCAUACGAUGCCUGAACUGCGUAGCCGAGCUCGCAGAUAUCGGGCCUCCGUCAACCAAAACCCGAACCCGAAUCCGGAACCAAUUUCGACAAGCCAACAACCUCCCUCCAACAACAAUAUUAACAAUAACAAUAAUAAUAAUAACAGGAAGAAGCUGACUGUUCGAACUCGACAACAAAGGAGAGCCGGACAGAUUAAGACGAAACCCAACGCGAUCAUCGCUGUUGAUGACAAGAAGGACGGUAAUAAUAAUAAUAUUGUGAACGUUCAGGAAACACCGCCCUUGAAGGACGACGAAGUGGCUAGGGUUUUGGCAGAAGAAGUUGCUGAGAGAAAGAUGGAUGAGUACGACAGCGGUGGCCGUAGCGCAGAUAAGGGUGCUGGAGCUGAGGAUGAAGGAAGCACGGCUCCGCUUCCCGAGAAGGUCCAGGUUGGUGGUUCCCCAUUGUACAGAAUAGAAAGAAAACUGGGGAAAGGAGGCUUUGGGCAAGUGUAUGUUGGUCGGCGGAUUAGUCCAACAAUUGAAAGAACUGGGCCAGGAGCUUUAGAGGUAGCCUUAAAAUUUGAGCAUAGAAGUAGUAAAGGGUGUAAUUAUGGACCACCUUAUGAGUGGCAAGUUUACAAUGCACUUGGCGGUAGUCAUGGUGUGCCACGGGUUCAUUUCAAGGGCCGUCAAGGUGACUACUAUGUCAUGGUUAUGGAUAUGCUUGGACCUAGUUUAUGGGAUGUUUGGAAUAACAAUUCACAUACGAUGUCAAUUGAAAUGGUUGCAUGCAUUGCUAUUGAAGCAAUCUCCAUUUUAGAGAAAAUGCACUCUAGAGGAUAUGUGCAUGGGGAUGUAAAACCUGAAAACUUUUUGCUUGGUCCUUCUGGAACUCCUGACGAGAAAAAGCUUUUUCUUGUUGAUCUUGGGCUGGCUACCAGGUGGCGAGAUGGUUCAACUGGCCAACAUGUUGAAUAUGACCAACGUCCAGAUGUUUUCAGAGGAACAGUGCGCUAUGCUAGUGUGCAUGCUCAUCUUGGUAGAACUGGUAGCAGGAGAGAUGACCUAGAGUCACUUGCAUACACACUCAUUUUUCUUCUUCGUGGCCGACUUCCUUGGCAAGGAUAUCAGGGGGAAAAUAAAGGAUUCCUUGUAUGCAAGAAGAAGAUGGCCACUUCUCCAGAAACAUUGUGUUGCUUUUGCCCUCAGCCCUUUCGGCAGUUUGUUGAGUAUGUGGUGAAUUUGAAGUUUGACGAGGAACCCAAUUAUGCAAAAUAUAUCUCCCUUUUUGAUGGAAUUGUUGGUCCAAAUCCAGAUAUCAGACCAAUAAACACUGAUGGUGCACAGAAGCUUAUAUAUCAGGUAGGACAUAAGAGAGGACGACUGACAGUGGAGGACGAAGAAGAUGAACAGCCAAAGAAGAAGGUUCGCAUGGGGAUGCCCGCAACUCAAUGGAUUAGUGUUUAUAAUGCUCGUCGGCCAAUGAAGCAAAGAUAUCAUUAUAAUGUUGCUGAUGGAAGGCUGUCACAACAUAUUGAGAAAGGAAAUGAAGAUGGGCUAUUUAUCAGUAGUGUGGCUUCGUGUUCAAAUCUGUGGGCAUUAAUUAUGGAUGCUGGCACUGGCUUCAGUGCUCAAGUUUAUGAACUCUCACCCUACUUCCUUCACAAGGAAUGGAUAAUGGAGCAAUGGGAGAAAAAUUACUACAUCAGUGCAAUAGCUGGCGCUAAUAAUGGUAGCUCUUUUGUUGUAAUGUCUAAAGGGACCCAGUAUUUGCAGCAAUCCUACAAAGUCAGCGAUUCGUUUCCGUUUAAGUGGAUCAAUAAAAAAUGGAGGGAGGGUUUUUAUGUCACUGCCAUGGCCACAGCUGGAAGUAGGUGGGCAAUUGUUAUGUCACGUGGUGCAGGAUUUUCUGACCAGGUCGUGGAACUAGAUUUUUUGUAUCCUAGUGAAGGUAUUCAUCGGAGGUGGGAUAGUGGUUACCGUAUCACAUCAACUGCAGCAACUUGGGACCAGGCUGCAUUUGUUCUUAGUGUUCCAAGACGAAAACCAGCUGAUGAAACUCAAGAGACUCUUAGGACUUCUGCUUUUCCUAGUACUCAUGUUAAGGAGAAAUGGGCAAAGAAUCUUUAUAUUGCAUCUGUUUGCCAUGGUCGAACUGUUUCAUGAACCAUCUAAAGUUGGAAUGCUACACAUUUUGCAAACAUUUCCCACCAUUCACUACCCCUUUUGUGAAGCUGAGAUCCACCAUAGCCAAGUUGACUGAUCACUGCAAUGGGAGUUGAUAUAUGCAAAAUUCAUACUUUAUAGUCGCCAUCAUGUAGCAUCUCGUACAAUCACCUGUGCACUGUCUUUCAAUUGUGUUGGAAUGCUUAUCCGCUCAUGUUAAGUAUCUCAGUGCCAUUUGGAUGGAUCUCGGAAGCAGACAUGGUAUGCAAGGCUUCUUAACACCCAUGUAACUAGUAGAGUCACCAACUAACCAAGCAAAAGUCUGCUCGGGGAAGCUUGAAACUCAAUUCGCCACUGUAGUAAGCUCUGGCCUUUUCCUUAAUCUCUGCAGUGCUUUAACACAGGGUAACAAGGCCCUUGGGUAUGGAUAGGCUGCUAUGCAAGUGCAAGUGUCUUUCAUACCAUAAAAAGUCAGAACAAGGUUUUAUUUUGUCAUGACUCGUGGGUCUAUAUGGUAGCAAAUAGUGGCAACAUACCUCAUUGAGAAGCUGGAGUACCUGACUAAACGAGUUGCGAACUCAGUUAGAGUUCGACAAGGAAAGAUAUAUCUUUUAUAAUUUUACAAUUGUUGAACAAGAAAACUUGUGGUUUGCAAAAAGAAUUUGAUUGAACCAUUACUAUCCGAAAUGGCAGAGUUAAGGAUAUCUGUUUAGGAUUACCCUUGGCAUUGUGUUAAAUAUGGUUAAUAAUAUGGAUGAAAUCUAACCCACUAUGAAGUGGCAUUUAGGUUCA